rnacentral:rRNA from 1 species
UGGGGAAUAUUACACAAUGGAGGGAACUCUGAUGCAGCGACGCCGCGUGAACGAAGAAGGCUUUCGAGUCGUAAAGUUCUUUUAUAUGGGUAGAUAAUGACGGUACCAUAAGAAGAAGCCCCGGCUAACUACGUGCCAGCAGCCGCGGUAAUACGUAGGGGGCUAGCGUUGUCCGGAAUCACUGGGCGUAAAGGGUUCGCAGGCGGAAAUGCAAGUCAGGUGUAAAAGGCAGUAGCUUAACUACUGUAAGCAUUUGAAACUGCAUAUCUUGAGAAGAGUAGAGGUAAGUGGAAUUUUUAGUGUAGCGGUGAAAUGCGUAGAUAUUAAAAAGAAUACCGGUGGCGAAGGCGACUUACUGGGCUCAUUCUGACGCUGAGGAACGAAAGCGUGGGUAGCAAACAGG